GGGGCAAUAGCUCAGUGGUUAGAGCAACGGACUCAUAACCCGUCGGUCCCUGGUUCAAGUCCAGGUUGCCCCA
rnacentral:tRNA from 1 species